GGGCUUCCGGGUGUAGGGUUCUAGCGAGCCCAACCUCCCACCCGUGUUUACUGUACCUUAGUUGCUUCGGCGGGCCCGCCAUUCAUGGCCGCCGGGGGCUCUCAGCCCCGGGCCCGCGCCCGCCGGAGACACCACGAACUCUGUCUGAUCUAGUGAAGUCUGAGUUGAUUGUAUCGCAAUCAGUUAAAACUUUCAACAAUGGAUCUCUUGGUUCCGGCAUCGAUGAAGAACGCAGCGAAAUGCGAUAACUAGUGUGAAUUGCAGAAUUCCGUGAAUCAUCGAGUCUUUGAACGCACAUUGCGCCCCCUGGUAUUCCGGGGGGCAUGCCUGUCCGAGCGUCAUUGCUGCCCAUCAAGCACGGCUUGUGUGUUGGGUCGUCGUCCCCUCUCCGGGGGGGACGGGCCCCAAAGGCAGCGGCGGCACCGCGUCCGAUCCUCGAGCGUAUGGGGCUUUGUCACCCGCUCUGUAGGCCCGGCCGGCGCUUGCCGAACGCAAAUCAAUCUUUUUCCAGGUUGACCUCGGAUCAGGUAGGGAUACCCGCUGAACUUAAGCAUAUCAAUAAGGCGGAGGGGAAAUA
rnacentral:rRNA from 1 species